rnacentral:rRNA from 1 species
AGAGUUUGAUCCUGGCUCAGGACGAACGCUGGCGGCGUGCCUAAUACAUGCAAGUAGAACGCUGAAAUAAGAGCUUGCUCUUAUGGAUGAGUUGCGAACGGGUGAGUAACACGUGGGGAACCUACCUUCUAGCGGGGGAUAACACAUAGAAAUGUGUGCUAAUACCGCAUAAUAGUAUUUGAUGCAUAUCAGAUACUUGAAAGGCGCAAUUGCGUCACUAGAAGAUGGCCCCGCGGUGCAUUAGCUAGUUGGUGAGGUAACGGCUCACCAAGGCAAUGAUGCAUAGCCGACCUGAGAGGGUGAUCGGCCACACUGGGACUGAGACACGGCCCAGACUCCUACGGGAGGCAGCAGUAGGGAAUCUUCGGCAAUGGACGCAAGUCUGACCGAGCAACGCCGCGUGAGUGAAGAAGGUUUUCGGAUCGUAAAACUCUGUUGUAAGAGAAGAACGUUGAUGAGAGUGGAAAGUUCAUCAAGUGACGGUAUCUUACCAGAAAGCCACGGCUAACUACGUGCCAGCAGCCGCGGUAAUACGUAGGUGGCAAGCGUUGUCCGGAUUUAUUGGGCGUAAAGCGAGCGCAGGCGGUUGAUUAAGUCUGAUGUGAAAGCCCCCGGCUCAACCGGGGAGGGUCAUUGGAAACUGGUCAACUUGAGUGCAGAAGAGGAGAGUGGAAUUCCAUGUGUAGCGGUGAAAUGCGUAGAUAUAUGGAGGAACACCAGUGGCGAAGGCGGCUCUCUGGUCUGUAACUGACGCUGAGGCUCGAAAGCGUGGGGAGCGAACAGGAUUAGAUACCCUGGUAGUCCACGCGUAAACGAUGAGUGCUAAGUGUUGGAGGGUUUCCGCCUUCAGUGCUGCAGCUAACGCAUUAGCACUCGCUGGAGUACGACGCAGUUGAAACUCAAGAUGACG